rnacentral:rRNA from 1 species
AACGAACGCUGGCGGCAUGCCUAACACAUGCAAGUCGAACGAGACCUUCGGGUCUAGUGGCGCACGGGUGCGUACCGCGUGGGAACCUGCCCUUAGGUUCGGAAUAACUCCCCGAAAGGGGUGCUAAUACCGGAUAAUGUCUUCGGACCAAAGAUUUAUCGCCUUUGGAUGGGCCCGCGUUGGAUUAGCUAGUUGGUAGGGUAAAAGCCUACCAAGGCGACGAUCCAUAGCUGGUCUGAGAGGAUGAUCAGCCACACUGGGACUGAGACACGGCCCAGACUCCUACGGGAGGCAGCAGUAGAGAAUAUAGGACAAUGGACGAUAGCCUGAUCCAGCAAUGCCGCGUGAGUGAUGAAGGCCUUAGGGUUGUAAAGCUCUUUUACCCGGGAUGAUAAUGACGGUACCGGGAGAAGAAGCUCCGGCUAACUCCGUG